GAUGAGAUCUCACUGGGAUCUUGAAUCCCCUAAAGGGCCGUCGAAGACUACGACGUUGAUAGGUUGGGUGUGUAAGCGCUGUGAGGCGUUGAGCUAACCAAUACUAAUUGCCCGUGAGGCUUGACCAUAUAACACCCAAGCAAUU
rnacentral:rRNA from 1 species